AUUGAACGCUGGCGGCAGGCUUAACACAUGCAAGUCGAGCGGAGCGAGGGUGCUUGCACCUUAGCUUAGCGGCGGACGGGUGAGUAAUGCUUAGGAAUCUGCCUAUUAGUGGGGGACAACAUUCCGAAAGGAAUGCUAAUACCGCAUACGCCCUACGGGGGAAAGCAGGGGAUCUUCGGACCUUGCGCUAAUAGAUGAGCCUAAGUCGGAUUAGCUUGUUGGUGGGGUAAAGGCCUACCAAGGCGACGAUCUGUAGCGGGUCUGAGAGGAUGAUCCGCCACACUGGGACUGAGACACGGCCCAGACGACUACGGGAGGCAGCAGUGGGGAAUAAUGGACAAUGGGCGGAAGCCUGAUCCAGCCAUGCCGCGUGUGUGAAGAAGGCCUUUUGGUUGUAAAGCACUUUAAGCGAGGAGGAGGCUACUUAGAUUAAUACUCUGGGAUAGUGGACGUUACUCGCAGAAUAAGCACCGGCUAACUCUGUGCCAGCCGCCGCGGUAA
rnacentral:rRNA from 1 species